UACGUAGGUCCCGAGCGUUGUCCGGAUUUAUUGGGCGUAAAGCGAGCGCAGGUGGUUUAUUAAGUCUGGAGUAAAAGGCAGUGGCUCAACCAUUGUAUGCAUUGGAAACUGGUAGACUUGAGUGCAGGAGAGGAGAGUGGAAUUCCAUGUGUAGCGGUGAAAUGCGUAGAUAUAUGGAGGAACACCGGUGGCGAAAGCGGCUCUCUGGCCUGUAACUGACACUGAGGCUCGAAAGCGUGGGGAGCAAACAGG
rnacentral:rRNA from 1 species